CUGGUUUCUAUGAACCUUGCAGUGAUGUCCACAGGCCAUGCUCGAGAAGCCUCUUGUCUGUCCUCCAGCCAACCAGGAGCCAGUAAAUUCCACAAGGCACAAGUCAGGCUUCUAGACUUCAGCCACCACAGUGAACUGGGGGGAGAAGAGGAGCGCAAAGAAAAGGAAAGCCAAUCUCCCUGUUCAAGAGCCACUGCGGUGACAAGGCCUGCAUGGAUCUUUCUGAUUUGUUUAAUUCAGAAGCCAUAAGUAAGAAAGAAUCAGAGAAUGCCAAA